CCUACGGGAGGCUGCAGUGGGGAAUAUUGGACAAUGGGCGCAAGCCUGAUCCAGCAAUGCCGCGUGUGUGAAGAAGGCCUGCGGGUUGUAAAGCACUUUAAGCAGGAAAGAAGGGGUGAAAGUUAAUACCUUUCAUCAUUGACGUUACCUGCAGAAUAAGCACCGGCUAACUCCGUGCCAGCAGCCGCGGUAAUACGGAGGGUACUAGCGUGGCGCGGAAUUACUGGGGGCGAUGUGAUCAGAGGCGCGUGAAAGCCCUGGGCUUAACCUGGGAACUGCGGUGGAUACUGUCGGGCUAGAGUGUGGUAGAGGGGAGUGGAAUUUCCGGUGUAGCAGUGAAAUGCGUAGAGAUCGGAAGGAACACCAGUGGCGAAGGCGGCUCCCUGGACUAACACUGACGCUGAGGUGCGAAAGCGUGGGGAGCAAACAGGAUUAGAUACCCGAGUAGUC
rnacentral:rRNA from 1 species